ensembl:snoRNA
GCCCCAUGAUGAGAACAAGGCAAAUACGAGCUGAUUGGCUGGGAUCUUGUGUUCUCUUGCUCUCUGACUGGUGGGUAAUCUUGGCAGAGUAGUGGAGAUUGGCUGCGCUGCUGUAAGGGCCCACCCAUAUUGAUGCUGGCUGUCAAGCAUAAUACAAGUCUCCUUCAGAAAUGGACAUUUGUGGAUGAUUUGGCAGCUUACAGUGUGUGUGUGUUUGAGUAUGUCCCGUGUGUGUGUGUAAAUGUGUCAGUCAGCAAAGAGUCACAUCUCCUAAUGGGCCUUCCAGCUGUGAAUGCUUUCUUUGGUAAUCUGAGGGCA